CGGAGUCUGCGUAAUAGAACGGCAUUCCAUACAGAUUGCUAUAUGGGAAUAAACGCUAAUAAAUUACCAACAUCGUACACACGUACUGAACGAGCCCCGUGUUCUUGAUUAGUUUGAAGUCCUCCGCUAAUGUUCCCGCGCAGUCUAGAUGUGAUGGAGAUAAAAGUUAAAAGGAACAAAAAUAUGAUCAUUCUUCAUAUGAUGAGAGUUGAAAAUAGAAGAUAAAUGGUUACUAUGAACGACUUUACCUGCACUGAGAUAAGGACCAGACAGAAACAAUGCUUCAUGAAAAUUUAUCAGAACAGAAUAACUUUAAAUUUGGCAAGGAGACGACAAAUUCUCAUUGCAUCAGGCACCGGUGGCAGGUGUGCGUACCGUGAAUAAAGAAAGCCAGCUUUGCAUUUGCUGAGAAUAUUUUUAUAAGAUUAGAUCCAGCGCUAACUUCCUAGAAAAUAAUAAUAAUUAGUCAGGAUAGCCAGGAUAAAUCGGAGUUUUAAGCAUUGCAUCUCCAUGUUGUUUACAAACCUUUUAUAUUUUUAUGGAUACUCCUGUUAAUAAUCAAUAUCACACAAAAAUAAAACUAGCAUUCUUUUUUUUCAGUACAAUAUUUUUAUUACUUAUUAGAUAACAUACAUUAUGACAAUAAAUAUUUAUUUAUUUAUUUAUUUGUUAACCGGAUAUCAUAAUAUAAAUAAAAUAUUUUGAUUUGCAUUUGUA